rnacentral:lncRNA from 1 species
GAUAGCUCCUGAGUGGCAGGAGGGGUCCUGAAUGGGUAGCCAGCGACCCCAAUUUACAGGGAAGUUUUAUAGAGUAAAACCCACAGAAGUAUAACGUGGGUUAAAGCUACGACCCACCAAUGAGGUUACAAGUAUAGUCGCUUAGAUAAUAGUGAUCCAAGGGGGGAAAAAGUCACAUAACAAGUGUGCAUGGAAAGAACAAAGACGUUUUCUAGGAUGUGAUGCAUCCAGAGUUCCUGGUCACCCACCAGGGUGACUAAUGUCCAUUUAGGCUUCAUUAGGCCAGGUGAUACCACUUAUCUUGUCCUUUGGGGAAGUACGUAGGCCUGGCCAUUUCGUCUUUACCUGGAGGUCUGGUCUCCAAUGGAUGCAUCUCCAGCCAUGGUUGUAAUAUGUUUUACCUUUUCCCUGACUCUCUUGAGGGCCUAGCUCUAUCUGACUGCCUAUGAUAUUUCUACCUGUCUAUAAUAAUGGAAGGCAGCGAACUUCAUUACACAGGUAGGGUGGGUUUAGGUUCUGUCUCUGCUGUGGGAACUUCUUUGGGCUCUGUCUAGGCACGGUCCCUGUCUAAGCAGACAUCACUCCAGCCUGUCAUCCUGAGCCAUUUUCUGCAUGCCUCGUUCACCUUUCUCCUUCUGUUUGGCUCUGGAAGUCACGCAUCUGCUCAACAAGUUGGCCAGAUUCCUGCUCGGCUUGGUUUCCAGUCUGUGCUGUGCCUUCAUCUCCAGAAGCCAGAGAAAGUGGUGCUGGGCUGCGCCGGUGGGUAGCUCCAAGGAGUCCUCUUCGUCCUGUUUCCUUCUCAGAAGUUAGACCUUGGGAUGGCUUCCAGUGGCACUGAGGUCAGAGCUAUUGCUCCAGCUAAAGCUAACAGUGUUCUGCUCAGGAAGUGGACCCCUGCCUUCCCAGAAGACAACAGAACAGAAGCAGCUGGAGGUGGGAGACUGCAAACAGAAUCAACACAGGUUACAGGAAUAAAAGCAAGCUGCAGUCCUGAGUGCUGCCCAACUGUCGGAACACCUACUGGCUGGGCUUUGGACACAAACACUCCCCCUGAGCCUCAGGAGGCUGACAGUCCCCUGGACAGAAGAGCAUGAGGCCUUCGUGCUGGGAUCUCAGGACGGGUUGCACAGGACUUUGUGAGAUAAUGUUGCUGAGCAGUCAGAGCCACUGACCUUUAGAGAAACGCUGAGGUGGAAUUUCCCUGGUGACUUUUCCUCUACAUACGUGAUUGGGAGUCUGGCUCCUGGACGCAAGAUGGUCAGGGGCAUCACCAAAGAAGAGGACAGGAUUGUGCUCAGCAGAAGGGAGCUGCGAGCCUGGGCCUGCUCUCUGGCCUUCAAAGAACAGCUGGGAUGGAUGAAGGCAGGGAGAGCAGGAUGUUGUGGGGUGGUGGGGUGGUGGGGUGGGCUGUGGCUGCUGAGGGUGGGAGGUGUCUCCUCUACCUAAGUUAUACAAAAUCCUUCUGUUUCAGUAGCACUUGAUUACUCUGUUCAAGUAGGGAUGGUGGCUGUGAUGAAUAAAAAUACUCAUCCUGCAUGUUGUGCACAAACCUGUAAAUUUUCACCAGUUUAGUCUGAGUCCUGGGACAAAGUGAAGCAAAGCAGGGCUACUAAUGCACUGUCUCCAGAAAGAGCCCCAGGAGCCUUUGGCCACCCUCUGAGGGACUCCAGGAAGCAGAGUCCUGUUGGAUUAUGCCUGCCACCUCACGUGAAGGGGACCGGCCUUCAUGGAGUUGGAGAGAAUUAAUUUCUCUUUGAGAAGACUGUACCCAGAAACCUAAUUAUUAUGCAUUUAUUUGUUUAGAGCUAAUUCUGGGCCAGGUUCAAUAUAGCUUCAAACAUGAAUAUAUUUGCAAUCUAUCUGGGAAGACAGACCACAGUUGUGUGUAAAAGUAAAUAAAUAUAAGACUUCAAUAUUUCAGACAACACUGUAAGAGUUUUUGUUUUGGCAGUGCUGCGGGGCUCAUUCAUACCCUUCUUUUUUUUAAUUUUUAAAUU